rnacentral:rRNA from 1 species
CACGUAGGGGGCAAGCGUUGUCCGGAUUUAUUGGGCGUAACGAGCUCGUAGGCUGUUCGAUAAGUCGGGUGUGAAACCUCCAGGCUCAACCUGGAGACGCCACCCGAUACUGUCAUGACUAGAGUCCGGUAGGGGAGCGUGGAAUUCCUGGUGUAGCGGUGAAAUGCGCAGAUAUCAGGAGGAACACCAGCGGCGAAGGCGGCGCUCUGGGCCGGUACUGACGCUGAGGUGCGAAAGCGUGGGGAGCAAACAGG